rnacentral:rRNA from 1 species
AGCAGCCGCGGUAAUUCCAGCUCCAAUAGCGUAUAUUAAAGUUGUUGCAGUUAAAAGCUCGUAGUUGAACCUUAGGCCCGUGCGGGCGGUCCGUCCUCAGGGCGAGCACUGCCUCGUCGCGGGUCUCACCUUCUGGCGAGCGUGGAUGCCAUUCAUUUGGUGUCCGCGGGAACCAGGACCUUUACCUGAAAAAUUGAGUGCUCAAAGCGGGCUCCGACGCUUGAAUACAUUAGCAUGGAAUAAUGAAAUAGGACGAUGGUUCUAUUUUGUUGGUUUCUGGGACCGUCGUAAUGAUUAAUAGGGAUAGUUGGGGGCAUUCGUAUUCAAUUGUCAGAGGUGAAAUUCUUGGAUUUAUUGAAGACGA